AGCGAACGCUGGCGGCAGGCCUAAUACAUGCAAGUCGAACGGUCUCUUCGGAGGCAGUGGCGGACGGGUGAGUAACGCGUGGGAACGUGCCCUUUGGUACGGAACAACUGAGGGAAACUUCAGCUAAUACCGUAUGUGCCCUUCGGGGAAAGAUUUAUCGCCAUUGGAGCGGCCCGCGUUGGAUUAGCUAGUUGGUGGGGUAAGUGGCCCACCAAGGCGACGAUCCAUAGCUGGUCUGAGAGGAUGAUCAGCCACACUGGGACUGAGACACGGCCCAGACUCCUACGGGAGGCAGCAGUAGGGAAUCUUGCGCAAUGGGCGAAAGCCUGACGCAGCCAUGCCGCGUGAAUGAUGAAGGUCUUAGGAUUGUAAAAUUCUUUCACCGGGGACGAUAAUGACGGUACCCGGAGAAGAAGCCCCGGCUAACUUCGUG
rnacentral:rRNA from 1 species